rnacentral:rRNA from 1 species
CUGCGAGUGAGCGGGAAAAGCUCAAAUUUAAAAUCUGGCAGUCUUUGGCUGUCGAGUUGUAAUCUAGAGAAGUGUUAUCCGCGCUGGACCGUGUACAAGUCUCCUGGAAUGGAGCGUCAUAGAGGGUGAGAAUCCCGUCUUUGACACGGACUGCCAGGGCUUUGUGAUGCGCUCUCAAAGAGUCGAGUUGUUUGGGAAUGCAGCUCAAAAUGGGUGGUAAAUUCCAUCUAAAGCUAAAUAUUGGCGAGAGACCGAUAGCGAACAAGUACCGUGAGGGAAAGAUGAAAAGAACUUUGGAAAGAGAGUUAAACAGUACGUGAAAUUGCUGAAAGGGAAACGCUUGAAGUCAGUCGCGUUGUCCAGGGAUCAACCUUGCUUUUGCUUGGUGUACUUUCUGGUUGACGGGUCAGCAUCAAUUUUGACUAUUGGAAAAAUUUCAAGGGAAUGUGGCAUCUUCGGGUGUGUUAUAGCCCUUUUUUGUAUACAAUGGUUAGGAUUGAGGAACUCAGCACGCCGCAAGGCCGGGUUUUUAACCACGUACGUGCUUAGGAUGCUGGCAUAUUGGCUUUAAUCGACCCGUCUUGAAACACGGACCAAGGAGUCUAACAUACCUGCGAGUGUUUGGGUGGAAAACCCGAGCGCGCAAUGAAAGUGAAAAGUUGAGAUCCCUGUCAUGGGGAGCAUCGACGCCCGGACCAGACCUUUUGUGACGGCUCCGCGGUAGAGCAUGUAUGUUGGGACCCGAAAGAUGGUGAACUAUGCCUGAAUAGGGUGAAGCCAGAGGAAACUCUGGUGGAGGCUCGUAGCGAUUCUGACGUGCAAAUCGAUCGUCAAA